rnacentral:rRNA from 1 species
GACGAACGCUGGCUGCGUGCUUAACACAUGCAAGUCGAACGCUGAAGCUCUGGUGCUUGCACCGGGGUGGAUGAGUGGCGAACGGGUGAGUAACACGUGAGUAACCUGCCCCUGACUUCGGGAUAAGCCCGGGAAACUGGGUCUAAUACCGAAUAUGACCGUUCCUCGCAUGAGGAAUGGUGGAAAGUUUUUUCGGUUGGGGAUGGGCUCGCGGCCUAUCAGCUAGAUGGUGGGGUAAUGGCCCACCAUGGCGACGACGGGUAGCCGGCCUGAGAGGGCGACCGGCCACACUGGGACUGAGACACGGCCCAGACUCCUACGGGAGGCAGCAGUGGGGAAUAUUGCACAAUGGGGGAAACCCUGAUGCAGCGACGCAGCGUGCGGGAUGACGGCCUUCGGGUUGUAAACCGCUUUCAGCAGGGAAGAAGCCCCUUGGGGUGACGGUACCUGCAGAAGAAGUACCGGCUAACUACGUGCCAGCAGCCGCGGUAAUACGUAGGGUACGAGCGUUGUCCGGAAUUAUUGGGCGUAAAGAGCUCGUAGGUGGUUGGUCACGUCUGCUGUGGAAACGCAACGCUUAACGUUGUGCGUGCAGUGGGUACGGGCUGACUAGAGUGCAGUAGGGGAGUCUGGAAUUCCUGGUGUAGCGGUGAAAUGCGCAGAUAUCAGGAGGAACACCGGUGGCGAAGGCGGGACUCUGGGCUGUAACUGACACUGAGGAGCGAAAGCAUGGGGAGCGAACAGGAUUAGAUACCCUGGUAGUCCAUGCCGUAAACGUUGGGCACUAGGUGUGGGGGACAUUCCACGUUCUCCGCGCCGUAGCUAACGCAUUAAGUGCCCCGCCUGGGGAGUACGGUCGCAAGGCUAAAACUCAAAGGAAUUGACGGGGGCCCGCACAAGCGGCGGAGCAUGCGGAUUAAUUCGAUGCAACGCGAAGAACCUUACCAAGGCUUGACAUACACCAGACCGGGCUGGAAACAGUCCUUCCCCUUUGGGGUUGGUGUACAGGUGGUGCAUGGUUGUCGUCAGCUCGUGUCGUGAGAUGUUGGGUUAAGUCCCGCAACGAGCGCAACCCUCGUUCUAUGUUGCCAGCACGUGAUGGUGGGAACUCAUAGGAGACUGCCGGGGUCAACUCGGAGGAAGGUGGGGAUGACGUCAAAUCAUCAUGCCCUUUAUGUCUUGGGCUUCACGCAUGCUACAAUGGCUGGUACAGAGAGAUGCGAGACCGUGAGGUUUUAGCGAAUCCCUUAAAGCCAGUCUCAGUUCGGAUCGUAGUCUGCAAUUCGACUACGUGAAGUCGGAGUCGCUAGUAAUCGCAGAUCAGCAACGCUGCGGUGAAUACGUUCCCGGGCCU